UACGGAGGGGGCUAGCGUUGUUCGGAAUUACUGGGCGUAAAGCGCACGUAGGCGGCUUUGUAAGUUAGAGGUGAAAGCCCGGGGCUCAACUCCGGAAUUGCCUUUAAGACUGCAUCGCUAGAAUUGUGGAGAGGUAAGUGGAAUUCCGAGUGUAGAGGUGAAAUUCGUAGAUAUCGGAAGAACACCAGUGGCGAAGGCGACUUAC
rnacentral:rRNA from 1 species